ACUGAAACUGUGAAGACUUUUAUAGUCUGUACACUAAGCAGUAUGAAGACCCAGUAUCAAAUUAAAAUAAGUGGACAGUCCCAGACUUCAGUGACAAAGCGCCUUGAUUCCAGCAGUGAUUCCCCAGUCUGCUUUCGCUUUGGGUUUCCAUUGUGACCAUUAACUGCUGAAACUGAGCCCAGAGCCCAUGAUCACAAGAUCUGAACGUCGUUGCGAGGGAUCCUAAGGAGGAAGCAAGAGCCGAGAUGCCUAGUGAAGCAGGAAUCAUCCUGGAACUGUCAGGAUGGGAGUUGGAACACUAAGGAAGUUUUGCAGAAGAAGAAAAGCUAUGGUCUGCUGGAGAAGACUGGGAAGACUUUUCAGAAGAGGAGGCAUUUGGGAAAAAUCUGAAGUUCUGCUGGAAUUUAGGGAGGUGGAGAGAAGUGUGGAGGGCAGCAUUCUCAUGAGCUACCCUUAAAGUUUAGAGCUACUCUUCCUAAUUGUUAUUCUGGAUCUUUCACUUAUCCCCAGUGUUAAGGAAUGACUGUUCUAAACACUGAAAAGCCAUCAACAAUA